UCACGAUGAAUUCACCAACCACUAUUCUUUAAAAUUCAAUGGAUAACCCAUCACACUUGUACCCAUAAUACCCAAACAAGUGUAUGAAGAUCAAAUACAUUUGAAGGAAAAGAUUUGAAAAAAAAAAAGAGAAUGAGGUAACAACAAAAGAAAAAGAGAAAAUCAUGAGAGAAUGCAAAAAAAAAACAUGAGGGAAAAGAAAAAAAGAGUGAAAAAGAAAAGAUAAAAGAGCAAGAAAACAAGGUUGUGGUAAGAAAAGGGAGUA
rnacentral:lncRNA from 1 species